rnacentral:rRNA from 1 species
AUACGUAGGGUGCGAGCGUUAAUCGGAAUUACUGGGCGUAAAGCGUGCGCAGGCGGUUUUGUAAGCCAGAUGUGAAAUCCCCGGGCUUAACCUGGGAAUGGCAUUUGGGACUGCAAGGCUUGAGUGCGGCAGAGGAGACUGGAAUUCCUGGUGUAGCAGUGAAAUGCGUAGAUAUCAGGAGGAACACCGAUGGCGAAGGCAGGUCUCUGGGCUGACACUGACGCUCAUGCACGAAAGCGUGGGGAGCAAACAGGAUUAGAUACCCUGGUAGUCCACGCCCUAAACGAUGUCGACUGGUUGUUGGGGGUUUGACACUCUCAGUAACGAAGCUAACGCGUGAAGUCGACCGCCUGGGGAGUACGGCCGCAAGGUUAAAACUCAAAUGAAUUGACGGGG